UUGCGGCGUCGCGACUGGCGCCGGAGGUGGGACACCACCGGGGAGCGACUUGGACGGCAGUCGGCCGCGCGCCUGGGCCGAUGCG
rnacentral:ncRNA from 2 species